UACAGAGGGGGCAAGCGUUAUUCGGAAUUAUUGGGCGUAAAGGGCGCGUAGGCGGCAUCGCAAGUGGAAGGUGAAAUCCCUCGGCUUAACCGAGGAACUGCCCUCCAAACUGCUUCGCUUGAGACCGGGAGAGGUGAGUGGAAUUCCCAGUGUAGCGGUGAAAUGCGUAGAUAUUGGGAGGAACACCAGUGGCGAAGGCGGCUCACUGGACCGGUACUGACGCUGAUGCGCGAAAGCGUGGGGAGCGAUCCGG
rnacentral:rRNA from 1 species